GGUAGCGUAGCCGAGUGGUAUAAGGCGCUGGGUUUAGGCUCCAGUCAUUUCUCUGGCGUGAGCUGAAAUCCCACCGCUGCCA
rnacentral:tRNA from 1 species